GAUAGCUCAGUCACUAGAGCAGGAGACUCUCAGUCUCAGGGUCGUGGGUUCGAGCCCCAAAGUGGGGAAAACA